GUGUUUGCUUUGGCAGCACUUAUACUAAAACUGGAAUGAUCUGGGGAAGACUAGCCUGGUGCCUGGCAUGGAUGACACACAGAAUUGUGAGGCAUCCUGCGUUUUA
ensembl:snRNA U6 U6 spliceosomal RNA